ACUCAGCACGGUGGGAUCUUUGCUCUUCGAGUCCAAAAAAGACAAAACAUGAUGGGUCGACUUUAUGGGAGCUAAAUCCCCCACCAGAUACACAUGGCUUGAUUUAUAAGCACCAUGAGGACAAGAACGUUUUAUGGAUGCGGGGAGUAACAUGGCAAAUUUGCAGAUGGUUGAAAUGAAAAGGAUAUGAAUUGGAUUGCUCACUGAAAUGAAGAGAGAGCCCCUGAACUGGAGAAGCUCCUUCUUCUCAUCAGAACAUGCCUGAAUCUUGGGGUUGGGAUGAUUGCACCAUAGAUUCCAUUCAAAAGCUGUAAUACAUAGAGAUGUUGUGCUGGCUUUUACACCGUUGACGUGUUACCUCUGUAAGGCUUUCAGUGUAUUGUAUAGACUUUGGUCUACUCAACCGUUGAGUGUUACCUUCUGGCUGCAGAGAAUUCACGUUUUGAACAG